rnacentral:lncRNA from 1 species
CCCACCUUUUCCCCACUUAGAAUCGUGCAGAAGGAUCUGGAGAUGUCCUAGAGAGGUUUGGGGGCAUCCAGGGGGUUCUGGACUCAUGCAGAAGAGUCUGGAGAUGUCCAAGGAGGAUCCAGGGAGUCCCCAGGCCUGCCUGCAGCCGGACCCGGUGACACCGGAGCCCUCCCUCUGGCGCUGUCACCAUCCUCUGUCCCGAGGACGGGAGGUGAACUCUGUGCCACCAGCAGAGGGGACCACGGGUGACAUCAGUGUGGAACAGCCGUGACGCGGCGGCGUUGUCAUUGGGUGUCACCGUCACGCAGAGGGGCCAAAAGGACCCCCCUGGGGGCAUUGCGUCGAAGUUGGGGACACCGUGAGCAGCUUGAGGACUUCCCAGGGGAAGUGGGGGCACCGCGUCACCGUGUCACACCCCAAAGUUGGGGAUGCCCCCACAGUGUCACACCUCAAAGUUGGGGACACCCCCACAGUGUCACACCGCAAAGUUGUGAACAGCUCUGUGUCCCCCCAAUGGUGUCAGACCCCAAAGUUGGGACACCCCAAAGUUGGGGUCUGUCCCAGAGGUGGGAGUGCCCCCACAUCCCCACCAUGGCGUCACAUCCCAAAGUUGGGGACCCCCAUCUGGGGACCCAUUCUGUGCGCCCCCCAUUGCAGACAGCACUGUUCCCAUGGGGUGGGGGUGGGGGGCACCCUUUAUUUUUGGGAUUAAGGUUUAUUUUGUGAUAACGGGGCGUUGGGGGAUGCCCCCCC